rnacentral:rRNA from 1 species
AUACGUAGGGUGCAAGCGUUAAUCGGAAUUACUGGGCGUAAAGCGUGCGCAGGCGGUUUUGUAAGACAGAGGUGAAAUCCCCGGGCUCAACCUGGGAACUGCCUUUGUGACUGCAAGGCUAGAGUACGGCAGAGGGGGAUGGAAUUCCGCGUGUAGCAGUGAAAUGCGUAGAUAUGCGGAGGAACACCGAUGGCGAAGGCAAUCCCCUGGGCCGGUGCUGGCGCUCAUGCACGAAAGCGUGGGGAGCAAACAGGAUUAGAUACCCUGGUAGUCCACGCCCUAAACGAUGUCAACUGGUUGUUGGGUCUUCAUUGACUCAGUAACGAAGCUAACGCGUGAAGUUGACCGCCUGGGGAGUACGGCCGCAAGGUUGAAACUCAAAUGAAUUGGCGGGG